rnacentral:rRNA from 1 species
GGAUUGAACGCUGGCGGCGUGCCUAACACAUGCAAGUCGGGCGGUAACAGGUGUAGCAAUACAUGCUGACGAGCGGCGAACGGGUGAGUAAUGCUUCGGAAUCUACCUUAUGGUGGGGAAUAACUAGCCGAAAGGUUAGCUAAUACCGCAUACGUCCUACGGGAGAAAGCAGGGGAUCGCAAGACCUUGCGCCAAAAGAUGAGCCGAAGUCGGAUUAGCUAGUUGGUAGGUAACGGCCUACCAAGGCGACGAUCCGUAGCUGGUCUGAGAGGACGACCAGCCACACUGGAACUGAGACACGGUCCAGACUCCUACGGGAGGCAGCAGGUGGGAAUAGUGGACAAGUGGGGAAACCCUGAGUCCAGCGACGCCGCGUAGUGUAGAAGA